GAAGCCUCUGCCUCAGAGAUGCUGCCGCUGCUGCUGCCGCUGCCCCUGCUGUGGGCAGGGCCCUCGCUCAGGAUGCAAGAUUCCGGCUGGAGAUGCCAGAGUCCGUGACGGUGCAGGAGGGUCUGUGCAUCUUUGUGCACUGUUCGGUCUUCUACCUCGAGUAUGGCUGGAAAGAUUCUACCCCUGCUUAUGGCCACUGGUUCCGGGAAGGGGUCAGUGUAGACCAGGAGACUCCAGUGGCCACAAACAACUCAACUCAAAAAGUGCAGAAGGAGACCCAGGGCCGAUUCCACCUCCUCGGUGAUCCCUCAAGGAACAACUGCUCCCUGAGCAUCAGAGACGCCAGGAGGAGGGACAACGGUUCAUACUUCUUUUGGGUGGCGAGAGGAAGAACAAAAUUUAGUUACAAAUAUUCCCCGCUCUCUGUGUAUGUGACAGCCCUGACCCACAGGCCCGACAUCCUCAUCCCGGAGUUCCUAAAGUCUGGCCAUCCCAGCAACCUGACCUGCUCUGUGCCCUGGGUCUGUGAGCAGGGAACACCCCCCAUCUUCUCCUGGAUGUCAGCUGCCCCCACCUCCCUGGGCCCCAGGACCCUCCACUCCUCAGUGCUCACGAUCAUCCCACGGCCUCAGGACCACGGCACCAACCUCAUCUGUCAGGUGACGUUCCCCGGAGCUGGUGUGACCACGGAGAGAACCAUCCAGCUCAGUGUCUCCUAUCCUCUAAUGAACCCAGUGAUUGAAGCCUCCCUAGAAGACGGCACAGGGAAAUCAGGAACCGUGGAAGAGGUGGUUGUUUUGGCCGUGGGGGUAGUGGCUGUGAAGAUCCUGCUUCUCUGCCUUUGCCUCAUCAUCCUCAGUUUCCACAAGAAGAAGGCGGUGAGGGCAGUGGAGGUUGAGGAGAAUGUAUAUGCUGUCAUGGGUUAAUCUCUCAGGCCUCCAGACUGUACUUCCAGAUGUCUCCUCAUCCAGUUCCUCCACAGUCUGAAUGGCCAUGUUUCCUCUUCAUUGCUGGAGAAUGAAGUGCAAAUGCCACUGCCUGGACUGAAGGCCUUUCACGAUCUGUCUUCUGCUGGACUCUGCUCCUGAUCCCCCUUCUCCUUGCAUCACCCGAAGUCUCCCUACACCCACCAGGCCAAGCCCUCUGUGAUUCUGAGACUUUGCAUGUGUAGUUACUUCUCCUGAAAUGGCCUUCCUCCCCAUUCCUGCCAAUCCAGGUCCUUAUCAUCCUUCAGGUUGUCUUAAAUGUCAUCCAGGUGUGUGUAUUUUUAUGUAAUCCUUGUAUGAUAUUAAGCGGAGAUGUGGCAUUUGUUCAUUAAUUUGUAGACAUAUUCAGUAACCAUACUGAAUACAUAUAAUGACUAUGUGCCAGCAUUUCCGUAUGUGCAAGAAGUUCAUCAAUAGAUAUAGACUCAAAGAGCUCUGUCAUCAAGCUGUUGUUCUGAAGAGCAGAAGGAUACAAAUAAAAAGAAAUAAGUAAAAUA
ensembl:lncRNA SIGLEC17P sialic acid binding Ig like lectin 17, pseudogene